AGUCAUAUGCUCGUCUCAAAGAUUAAGCCAUGCAUGUCUAAGUACACACCGUUUUAAGGUGAAACCGCGGACGGCUCAUUAAAUCAGAUAUAAUUCACAAGAUGGUCCUUCCCACUUACUUGGAUAACUGUGGUAAUUCUAGAGCUAAUACAUGCCUUGAGUCUCUGACAGCAAUGGAGGAGCGCUUUUAUUAGAACACAGACCCUUCGAUCGUCCCUUCACGGGGACUUUCGUUUGACUUGUGGAAUCUAGAUAACCUAUGCUGAGCGCACGGCCUUGUGUCGGCGCCGCAUCUUACAAGUGUCUGCCCUAUCAGCUCUCGAUUGUAGGUUAAACGCCUACAAUGGCUACAACGGGUAACGGGGAAUCAGGGUUCGAUUCCGGAGAGGGAGCCUGAGAAACGGCUACCACAUCUAAGGAAGGCAGCAGGCGCGCAAAUUACCCACUCCCGGCACGGGGAGGUAGUGACGAAAAAUACUGUUGCGAGACUCAUUCGAGGCUUCGCAAUUGGAAUGAGUACACUUUAAAUCCUUGUACGAGGAUCGAGUGGAGGGCAAGUCUGGUGCCAGCCGCCGCGGUAAUUCCAGCUCCACUAGCAUAUAUUAAAGUUGUUGCGGUUAAAACGCUCGUAGUUGGCUCUCUGCCCGGACUGUCGGUUCGCCUUAGCGGCGCUACUGUUCAGCUCUGGGCUAAUUCCGUCGAUAGCUGCGGGCUGCUCUUGACCGAGUGGCCCAAAGUGGUCGGCAUGUUUACCUUGAAAAAAUUAGAGUGCUCAGAGCAGGCUACUUGCCUGAAUAGACUAGCAUGGGAUAAUAGAACAGGACGACGGUUCUAUUCCAGUAAGGGUUCUUGGAACCCGUCGUAAUGAUUAAGAGAAGCGGACGGGGGCAUUCGUACUGCGUGGCUAGAGGUGAAAUUCUUAGACCCUCGCAUGACGAUCUAAAGCGAAAGCAUCUGCCAAGGACGUUUUCAUUGAUCAAGAACGAAAGUUAGAGGUUCGAAGGCGAUCAGAUACCGCCCUAGUUCUAACUAUAAACUAUGCUGACUAGCGAUCCGUCAUAGCUACUCCCAUGGCCUGGCGGGAAGCUUCCGGGAAACCAAAGUCUUUGAGUUCCGGGGGAAGUAUGGUUGCAAAGCUGAAACUUAAAGGAAUUGACGGAAGGGCACCACCAGGAGUGGAGCCUGCGGCUCAAUUUGACUCAACACGGGGAAACUUACCAGGCCAGGACACUGGAAGGAUUGACAGAUUGAAAGCUCUUUCUUAAUUCGGUGGGUGGUGGUGCAUGGCCGUUCUUAGUUGGUGGAGUGAUUUGUCUGGUUAAUUCCGAUAACGAACGAGACUCUAGCCUAUUAACUAGCCGCUGGACCUGCUUGGGCCUUGGCCUUGUGUCUCGGUUCAUAAAACCACUACAGUGCGUGUGUUCAAACUUGGUCCGGAGAGCCCGAAAAGGCCUUGGAGGCGGACUCAUUCAACCGGGUUGAGGGACCGAUGCGUCGAUGAGGGUAGCUCUAGGGUCAAACCGAAAAGCUAUUCUUGGAGUGUUGGAAACUUUUUCCGGGAGUCUUGCCAAUAGGGUUGAGGGCUUCGAAGGUCAGGGGCGACACCGUGCGUCAUUAGUGGCGUCCAGAUGGUUGUCUUCUUAGAGGGAUAAGCUGCAGCAAAUAAUUUACUAGCAGCACGAGAGAUUGAGCCAUAACAGGUCUGUGAUGCCCUUAGAUGUCCUGGGCCGCACGCGCGCUACAAUGGAAAGUUCAACGAGCUUUCCUGCUCCGACAGGAGUGGGUAAUCUUGUGAAAGCUUUCCUUAAAGGGGAUUGGGGCUUGCAAUUAUGCCCCAUGAACGAGGAAUUCCCAGUAGGCGCAAUUCACCAGAUUGUACCGAUUUAGUCCCUGCCCUUUGUACACACCGCCCGUCGCUACUACCGAUUGAAUGGCCUAGUGAGGGCAUCGGACUGGCGCUCUUGGAGAGGUAUGUCGUGGCUUGAGUCUUGGCUUCGGUCGAGGUCUCGGUCAUGGCAGGAACCGCCUCGAGUUGACGGAAAGAUGUCCGAGCUGGGUCAUUUAGAGGAAGUAAAAGUCGU
rnacentral:rRNA from 1 species